UGCCCCUAUGUUCGUCGGCGUUGCCGACACAUGCCCAGGCAGCCGAGACCUUCAAGGCUGCAAGCGCGGGAGACCGUGUUGGUCGUUUCUUCAUACGGGCCGCACCUCGCCCACCCACCCAC
rnacentral:ncRNA from 1 species